UGGGGAAUAUUGGACAAUGGGCGCAAGCCUGAUCCAGCCAUGCCGCGUGAGUGAUGAAGGCCCUAGGGUUGUAAAGCUCUUUCACCGGUGAAGAUAAUGACGGUAACCGGAGAAGAAGCCCCGGCUAACUUCGUGCCAGCAGCCGCGGUAAUACGAAGGGGGCUAGCGUUGUUCGGAUUUACUGGGCGUAAAGCGCACGUAGGCGGACUAUUAAGUCAGGGGUGAAAUCCCGGGGCUAAACCCCGGAACUGCCUUUGAUACUGGUAGUUUUGAGUGCGAGAGAGGUGAGUGGAAUUCCGAGUGUAGAGGUGAAGUUCGUAGAGAUUCGGAGGAAAACCAGUGGCGAAGGCGGCUCACUGGCUCGAUACUGACGCUGAGGUGCGAGAGCGUGGGGAGCAAACAG
rnacentral:rRNA from 1 species